CAGGAGAACUGGAGGACAAACCCACGCAGGAUUCAAUAGGAAGCACAUCUGCAGAGAAAGCUGCAGCAAAUGCGCUCCGUCCUUCUCAGGAGCACUUCAGAAGGAGCUGCACGUCUCAUAGCUCUGGAGCAGCACUUCUUCCCCACCCUUCACUACUCCAAGCAGCUCCAACAAACUUCUCAGAAGAAAUCCAGGCCAGCACAGACCUGGCAGACCAGAACCAAGUGCAGCUUGUGUGACGGCAGUGCCCACUCCUUGCUUCCACCCUGCUCCAGCAGGUUAAGGAGUCUGAGCCUCACUGGCCUUUGACAACUCAAGACUUUUUUGGUUCCAGGGGGGGCCCCAAAGAACCAAAAAAAAAAACAAAAAAAAACGGCGGCGCCCCCCCCUGUACGCCUGCGAUGGGCAACAUUUCUCACUAAGAUACACCUCAGGCAUUGAAUUCUCUUCUCACUACCUCCUCCCAGUCCUCCCCUAGGAACAGAAACCAUUCAGAUUCUACAGCAAACACAUCUACCCUGCAAGAGCACACUGAACCACCUGCAACAAUGAAACAUGGUUUUGGAGAGUGGGUUUGAAAACACACCUUUAGACAGCUGUCUCCCUGUAGCCAAAAGGAAACCAAGCAGCAAAAGAAGAGUCCAGCCUGAAACAUGCCCAUGCUACUAGCCCAGGUUUUUCACAGUCAAUGCAGAAUCCAUCCUGUUCUUGAGGUAACAAAUGACCAGUGGGUCUCCCCUUGCUCCACCCCUUCUCCUUCAAAGCCAGAAAAAGAAAGAAAAACAAGUAGAAGAAAACCCAGACGUACCUUUCCACACACAAAGCAGAAAGUGGAACAGCAGUUGUCUCCUUCCUGAGACAUGGUGGGGCGCAUCCCAGAGGAAGCCCAAUCAUAGAAUGGCCCGGGUUGGAAGGGACCUCAAGGAUCAUGAAGAUCAAUCACCUCCCUGUCCCUGCUGGCCAUCCCCUCUUCUGAUGGAGCCCAGGGGACCAUUUGCUCUCUGAGCUGCAAGAGCACGCUGAUGGCUCACGUUCUGUUUUUCAUCCACCAGGACCCCCAGGUCCUUCUCUGCGGGGCUUCUCUUUAAGGGAUCUGCUCCUUCGCCCAGUCUGUAGAAAUGCCUGGGAUUCCUCCAGCCCAAGUGCAAAACCUUGCACUUUGCUGUGUUCAACCUCAUUAGAUUCACGUAGGCCAACCUCUCGGUUGAGCUCCCUCUGAAUGGCAUCCCUUCCUUCCACUGCGUCAGCCGCACCACUCAGCAAACAGCAGAGGGUGCACUCCAUUGCAUCAUUGGUGUCUCUGAUAACCAUGUAAAAAAGCACUGGUCCCAAGACAGACUCCUGGAUGACACCAUCUGUGGUUUAAUCGGCCCUGACCAUUCCCACCCCUGGGACAUCAAACCAUGAUCACCCACCAUCCCCUCAUUGCAAAUCCUGCUAUCAAAACCUCUUUGUCUUCUACUCCUGCUGCAGCUGCAAUGGCUGCACCAGCAUGACUCACGUGUUUGACAAUCCUCCAGCUCUGGCCUAGCCAUGCACAGCAGCAGUCCGUCUCCCUCCCAGCUCACUCACCAGUGUGCUGCUGUGCCCCAAAUUCAGUGCAGCAGCAUUGAGAGCAGGCAGCACCCAUCACCCUCCUCUAACUCUCUCUGCCAGCUGCGAUGAGGACUGACACAGCACGCCCACCCCAGCCCAGCUUUUCUGCUGAGACACCUCCCAGCAACCACCCAGCACCAAUCCCAGUUGCUGCAAACUGUCUGAGAGCCUGCUGGAGUGCACUGACAAUAACUUUGUGGGCCAAGCAUUAAGCACACCAAGCAGAAGGGAAGCAUUACUGGACAUGCUGAACAAGGUGCAAGGCGGUAAGUACUGGCGACGUGG
rnacentral:lncRNA from 1 species